UAUAGACAUAAAAUGGACUAUGCUGAGCGAAUUGGAAAGGUCAUGUUUUCUCGAUGCAUUUGAAGACUGGAACUCUAGACCUUGGAACGUUGUUCAUCAUGAAUCAUGAUGAAGUUUGUUUAUGAGGCGAUGGAGGCGACUCUCGCUUUUCCACUGAGAUUGAAGGUGUUGCGACGAAAAUCGAAAGCGGGAAAGUAAUGGCAAACCCAGUCUCCAGAUUUCCAUCCAGGUGGGAUGCUUGCAUCAGAUCCAUACUGAUCGGAACCCAUCAUGUAGGCGCCAUAAUCACCAGGAUAGACGGACUUAAAUGCACCACAUCUAAAGCAGUUCGGGCGGCUGGCGUAAUUGUGAGCUCCGCAGCUGACGGCAGUGCAGUACCAGUCUCCGGCCAACACCUCCGUCUUGUUGUAACUGUAAGUUGAAGGGUCUGGGCCUCCAUACUUGGGAAAACGUUUGGCCCGACGGGCAACCCGGUUGGUAAGAGCUUGGAGUCUCUUAGGCAUACCGGCUUAGAUAUCCCAAAUUUGAAUCUUCAGGUGAGCUUAAUACUAAAUUUUUUUUUAUGUUUCUUUUGUUCGGGGCUUGCGUUGGGCAUAGGUGCCCCCUAUUAUCUAUAAUAUACAUAUAUAUCUUAUUGAAAACUUCACAUGGUAGAUUAAUUUCUUUAAGCAAUACAAAUCUAUUCAGAAAGGUACAUUUCAUUCCUAGAAAAAUAGACAUCUCGUGCAAUCAUAUGAGUAUUUUAAAUCAUUAUUCCAGUUCUUGUGCUUUUGUUUGUAGGGUAAUAACUUUUCUCAAAAGUAUUCCGCGUUUACUCUAGACUAAUGCCUUACUUUGUAUCUUGAGAUACCCUAGAAGACAAGCCAAACUUUGUCACUGAUAAAUUGAUUCCAUUUUUCACUUUUGAAGUAUAUAUAGGUUUGAAUAUAGUUUUAGCCCUAAUGUCUUAAUGAAAACCAAGUUUAAAUUUUGCCAUCUAUAUUGUUCAACUCCAUUACUUGAAUACUUUUGGUCUUUUUAAUAUUAUUAAUUCUAGUUUAAAUCAUGUUGGAUAACUAUUUAGUUCCUGAAAACUAGGCUUGUAAACACUAUUUCUACCUAUUAGUUUCAAGAUGUUGAUAGAUUAUAGUUGACGAAAGAGGUAAUAUAGAAGAUGAAUAUGGUUAGAACAUACAUCCAAAAAAUUGGACAACAAGUGUAUACUAGGAAUUAUAGGUAGAGUUUAGAUACGUGAGAUUUGAACAUUUGGCUUCGUGAUCGAGAUUAUGAAAAAAGAAAAGGGUUUGGGAGUUGGGACAGGGGGUUUUAGGUAGGAAGUGGUAGCUAGGUGAGAUGCCCUUGUGUUGGGUGGACUUUGUUUGCUCCAACUUGGCCAAAUAAGCCUUCCCCAUGUAGUUUCAUUAUGUGGACCAAAUCCUUUCACAAAAGAAGGGGUUAAAUAAAACACAAAACAACUGAAACAAAAAGUUGAUUGUGUUAUUAUUAUUGUUAUAUAAUUGCCUCUCUUUCCCCCAUUGGAAUCUAUUCCUGUUAAGUGCACAUCCAUCAGCCUCCCAAAUUCCCUUUCCCUUCAAUAAUGCAACAAAAGAUGGGCACUCCUUAGAUUCAUCAUCCCAUUUCACCUCCUCAUGCUGCCUUUCCUCUGGCCCUCCCAUUGCUCAAUUUAUAUGCAUGCACAUAUGCAAUUUCUAUCUCCACUUUCCUUUUCUUUUUCAGGUGGGGUUCAGGUGAUUUGAAUGUCUAUAGAGGAUAUAUGUCUAAAUUAGUCGAGACACUCGAGUAAAGGAGAGAUAUAUGAAUGAGUCGAAACCAUAUCUGAAUGAGCCGAGACCAUAUCUGAAUGAGAGUAAUCACGAGCAUAGAUAGCUAAGAAAGGCUGAAUAGGAUGAAAGUUACUACCUAUACCAAUAAUGUUCACUUUCCUUUUCGGUGGUGCAAUCAUAAGAACUCUAAAGUUAAACGUG